GGUUGCUGAGUUCUUUCUGCAAACAGCUGCUGAAGAGUUAACAGACUGCGCUGAGUAUCAGUCCUGCAUCAGGGUCACCAUGAGCAAGUACACAGUCCAGGUCUCCACUGGUGACGUUCUUUAUGCUGGCACCUCUAACAGGAUCUACAUCAAGUUAAUUGGUGCAAUCUGUAAUAGUGGACCACAUCAUCUUCACACAGUAACAGGCUUUUGGGCUGGAUCGGAGCAAACGUUCACAGUCGAGUGCAAAGAAAAUAUCGGCCAACUCUUACUGGUUGAACUGGAAGCUAAGUCACCAUUUUUUCUGC